rnacentral:rRNA from 1 species
UACAGAGGUCUCAAGCGUUGUUCGGAAUUACUGGGCGUAAAGGGCUCGUAGGCGGCCAACUAAGUCAGACGUGAAAUCCCUCGGCUUAACCGGGGAACUGCGUCUGAUACUGGUUGGCUUGAAUCCGGGAGAGGGAUGUGGAAUUCCAGGUGUAGCGGUGAAAUGCGUAGAUAUCUGGAGGAACACCGGUGGCGAAGGCGGCAUCCUGGACCGGUAUUGACGCUGAGGAGCGAAAGCCAGGGGAGCAAACGGG